CGCAAGCCUGACGGAGCAACGCCGCGUGAGGGAGGAAGGCCUGUGGGUUGUAAACCUCUUUUAUCAGGGAAGAAUAACUGACGGUACCUGAUGAAUCAGCAUCGGCUAACUCCGUGCCAGCAGCCGCGGUAAGACGGAGGAUGCAAGCGUUAUCCGGAAUUAUUGGGCGUAAAGCGUCCGCAGGCGGCUUAUUAAGUCUGCUGUUAAAGCCCACAGCUCAACUGUGGAUCGGCAGUGGAAACUAGUGAGCUAGAGUACGGUAGGGGUAGAGGGAAUUCCCAGUGUAGCGGUGAAAUGCGUAGAUAUUGGGAAGAACACCAGUGGCGAAGGCGCUCUACUGGGCCGUAACUGACGCUGAGGGACGAAAGCUAGGGGAGCG
rnacentral:rRNA from 1 species